AUCUACAGCCAUACUACCCUGAACAUGCCCGAGCUCGUCUGAUCUCGGAAGCUAAGCGGGGUUGGGCCUGGUUAGUACUUGGAUGGGAGAAAUAAUUACAGGCUCAAAAGAAGUUGCAAAGC
ensembl:rRNA 5S_rRNA 5S ribosomal RNA